GUUCGACUUUUAUCGUUAGUCCUACCCGCUGAUGCCGGCUCCCAGCGAAGCUGCACCGAAAAUGAACCGCAGUUACUACAGGUCACGUUCUCGGUCGCCAGUAGACUAUGACAGGGACCGCGAUUCAAGCCGCAACCGACGAAGGUCGGACUCUCGGCCUGACAGGCAGAGGUCUCGUGCACCUUCUGACCGGCGUGUGUACGUUGCCAACGUGCCUUUUGAUUGCAAAUGGACUGACAUCAAGGACCUGUUUCGGGAUAAAGUUGGUGAUGUCUCCUACGUCGAGCUGUUUGAAGAUGAGACUGGCAAGUUCCGGGGAUGUGGGAUUGUGGAACUCAAGGACAAAGCGUCGGUGCCAAAGGCAAUUGAAGUGCUUCACAGAUACGAGAUGAAGGGCCGAUUUCUCGUGGUCAAGGAGGAUUUUGACGUUGAACGUGACCGCUUCGGUCGCCCGAUUCCGCGGGGACGAUCUGGUGGUGAUCGCAUGAUGGAUGACCGCGGACGUGAUGACCGUGACGGAUAUGGCCGCGGAGGUGGUGGCGGUGGCGGCGUAGGUUUCAACACUUACGGACUGAGCCCCCAAUUCCUCGACUCUCUCGGAAUUGUGGGACCCCUCUCAAACAGAGUGUUUGUGGCCAAUCUUGAUUACAAGGUGACUGCGAAAAAGCUUCAGGAGGUGUUCAGGAUUGCAGGCCGUGUUUCAAACGUAGACCUCAGGACUGAUAAGGAAGGGAACAGCAAGGGCCACGGAAUUGUUGAGUUUGAACACCCCAUUGAAGCUGUCCAAGCAAUCUCUAUGUUGAACGGUCAGAAGUUGUACAACCGGGCAAUGAGUGUCCGCAUGGACAAAUACAAUGAAGAUCUUGAUGGAGGACUCCCAUCAAAACUUCCCACUGGGCUUCAGGGAAUAGGAAAGGGCCUUGGCGCUGGUGGGAACCCUCUUCAGAUGACUGCUGCCCAGAUGGCCCAGAUGAACAUGACUGGCCCAGUGGGCGGCAUGCCCAUGGGCGGUGGUGUGAACCCUGUGGCAGCGGCUAACAUGGGGCUUGGCGGCCUGGGAGGUAUGGGAGGCAUGGGCCUGGGUGCUGGAGGCCUUGGCGCUGCAGGAACUGGAGGCCUGGCUGCAGCAGGGCUGGGUGGCAUGGGUUCAGCUGGAGGUUUGGGUGGGCUAUCGGACCGCUCUAUGUUGGGCUCUGGCAACCUUAUGGGAGGCGCCAUGGCUUCACCCACAGGGCUGAUGGGUGGCCUGUCCGGGGGCUUGGGCGGCGGAUCCUCGGCCUUGGGUGCUGGCAACGGUGGCGGUCUCGACUACGAUCGCCAUCUUGGUGGGGGUGAUGGCUACCGAAGCCCCCGCUCUUCAGAUGCCAUCAUGGUGCAAAAUCUUCCCAUGGGCUACAGCUGGCAGAACCUGCGUGAUCGCUUCCGGGAAGCUGCUCCUCGCAGCAAGCAGUCCAGUUCGAGGUCCUCCUUUGGUUUUUGAUGCAGGGAGCGUGCGGUACACCGACAUGAAGGGACGUGGUACCGCAAUUGUGCGCUUCAACUCCGAGCGGGACGCUCAGCGGGCUGUUGACAUGAUGAAUGGCAUCCGCCUCGAGAAUCGUCAGAUCGAUGUGCGCCUCUACUGAGCGUCGUGGGUCGUCGUGGGUCGUCGUGUCCUUUGUCAUCGUCAAUCCUUCUGGUCUCCCUUUUCUCUUUUCCACGGGCUCCUCUCUUCUUCUUUUUUUUUCCAUGUCCUCACUGUCAGCGUUUGUCUUCAUCCAGUGUACCUCCGUCAUCCGAAGAGAGAGAAAAAAGAAAGCCUCCGCAACAUUACUCAUGGAUAGUUCCAUUUCCUCCGUUCCACAGCUGUCCAUCCAGGCAAGGUGGCUGCUGGCUCCAAUUAUUACCUGAAGCUGCUGGCCACAUGUGCAUUGCAUGGAGGGGGAAUGGUCACUUCCUCAUUUUUUAGUACUGUUUCUCUUGCUUGUAUAGUCCAAAAACAUCAUUUUCAGCACAGGAUGUGUAAAGAUACUGGUUUUAGAUAUGGUCAUUUUUUUCUGAGCAUUCUCACCUCGCUAGGAUUUAUUUUUCUGGCAUUGUGCUUGUUUAAGUUUGUUUUCUCUUUGCCGAUGGUCGCGGGCUCUGUUAUUUCAGACGCCGUACCAAGACAGCCACCAAUUUGUGCAUUAGGGGUAUAAAUUUCACAAAAUUUGUGAUGCAGCACUACAUCUUUCAUUUGAAUCAUCCAUGAUGCAACUUUUUUUUUAUCCGAUGGGCAGAUAACAAGUGGACAGUGGGCAUUGUUAGGUUUUUUUUUUUCUUUUACCGACAUUCGGUUUCAAAUCAUUAUGAAUUGAUGUUGCCCUAACGAGCGUGUGGUGGCGCAAUGCUUUUAUCCUUGUUCGUCAUUCUUUUUCUUCCUUGUUCAGCAUCCGAGCAAUGGCAUUCAUGGGUGCACCUUCAUAUGUAAUUUUGCACAUGCACCAGGCUGCAACUUCAGUCGGGAAAAGCCUUCACUUCAUGCCACAAUCGAGUAGUCGCAUAUAGCAAGUUGCCAUUUUUUCUUGAUGUGGGCUGCAGUGUGGGCUCUACAAGCUAUAACGAGGCAUGUGGUCACACUUGCCACAAAACCAUCCUUGUUGCUUCUAGAAUAAAGCUUCCUUUGUCUCCGUGUACUACUA
rnacentral:misc_RNA from 1 species